UACAGAGGGGGCAAGCGUUGUUCGGAAUUACUGGGCGUAAAGGGCUCGUAGGCGGCCAACUAAGUCAGACGUGAAAUCCCUCGGCUUAACCGGGGAACUGCAUCUGAUACUGGAUGGCUUGAGUUCGGGAGAGGGAUGCGGAAUUCCCGGUGUAGUGGUGAAAUGCGUAGAUAUCGGGAGGAACACCAGUGGCGAAGGCGACUACCUGGCCUGUUUCUUGACGCUGAGGCGCGAAAGCUAGGGGAGCAAACGGGG
rnacentral:rRNA from 1 species